CAUUUACUUGUGUUUCCUUUCCAGAAGAUUCCCCGUCGCAGCUCCUGGAGGCCACCGUCCAGCUCAUCUCGGAGGCCAACUGCUCCCAACCCAAAUCCUACGGGAAACACAUAGACGGCAGCAUGCUGUGCGCGGGGUUGGCGCAGGGGGGAGUCGACUCGUGCCAGGGAGAUUCUGGGGGUCCCCUGACCUGCGAGCGCAAGGGCGUUUCUUACAUUGCGGGGGUCGUCAGUUGGGGUGAGGGGUGUGGCCUUAAAGACAAGCCAGGCGUGUACGCCCACACCUACCGCUUUGUCCAAUGGAUACAGAAUAUCAUGAGGACCAAAUAGUCCGUGGGGUUUGUUUCUGCCGCUAUACAGCCGCGGGGGAGGGGACAGCCUGUCAUUGGUCGAUAUCGUAGCACAUUAGCAUAGCAGAACGUCCUACUCUCAAAGCUCAUUGGGCGUCUACUUCCUUUUGGGGCACCACAGAUCCAAAGGGGCAAUUUAUAAUAAGGCUGAAAUAAAAAUUCCAUUGUUUAUAAAGGAUUUUCUCCUUAAAACAAAAUUGGGAUGAAUUUUGGUUCUUGCCCCAAGCUGAAAAGUAGAAAAAAUAAUUUUCUUAUAAAAAUGAGUGAAAAUCCAAUGGAAUAUUCUAUCUCAUUAAACAGAGGGGAGGGGGCAGUUUCAACACUGGGAAAAUAGCACCUCAUUGGUUUGCUCAAUCUCACCCUUAUAUAAAUAGGGUUGGUGCCCCUUUGUGGCGCCCUGCGGGGUUGCGCCCAUUCAUAUACAGGAAGUUGUGUUAUAUGGGGGCGGGGUUAUAAUAUAUAUAAGGGGUCUAAUCGCUGGAAUGAGAGAUUUAUAUCAGGGGCAAAUCAUGGAAUUACGGAGACUACGGAAAGUCUGUGGGAUCAGAAACGGGCCGUGGAAAUGAUAUAAAUAUUAUAUAUUAAAUGUUUAUCCGGAUUGUGAUAAAAUAAACAUUAUUAUUGUAUUAUUGUGUUUUUGCGCUAUAAUCCCUACAA